rnacentral:rRNA from 1 species
CAGUCGCCGCGGUAAUACGUAGGUGGCAAGCGUUGUCCGGAAUUAUUGGGCGUAAAGGGCUCGCAGGCGGUUUCUUAAGUCUGAUGUGAAAGCCCCCGGCUCAACCGGGGAGGGUCAUUGGAAACUGGGAAACUUGAGUGCAGAAGAGGAGAGUGGAGUUCCACGUGUAGCGGUGAAAUGCGUAGAGAUGUGGAGGAACACCAGUGGCGAAGGCGACUCUCUGGUCUGUAACUGACGCUGAGGAGCGAAAGCGUGGGGAGCGAACAGGAUUAGAUACCCGCGUAGUCCCUGUCUCUUAUAC